UUAAACCGUUGGUGACGUCCUCGCAGGAGUUUUCUCGUUGUGCUUACAAACGAUCGUUUUUUUCCGGAGCUGAAUUUGUGAGGAGUGAAGCCUCUCGUAUACUUACAAUCUUUGUUGAAAAUGGCGCGUUAAACGCCACAGCGUCAGGUGUUCAAAACCGGCAAAAUGGCGGCGAACCAAGCAACUUCAUGGGGUCGAAAACUGUUAAUAAUCCACCGGGAGCUCCAUUGAUCCAAGAGAGAAAAGAGCUGCCUGUAAAAUCCGAACCGGGACUUGUUUUCCAUGGAAGCAGCUCUACCAUGAGAGGAGGACAAGGUGACAUUCAACCUGAAGGUCCAAAGAUAGAGCCACACUGUGAGUUGUUUUAGCCCCUCACCUUAAAAUCUGUCUUUCCUAACACUUCAUCUUUUUUUCUAUGCCAUCUGUUUUUUCUCUGUCUCCUCUCCUUCCGCUUAAAAGUGGAGCAAACUUUAACAAAGCCACACAUUAAACGCAAAUCUUUUUCACUCAAAUCUUUCUCAUAAUAAAGCUAGUUGUGAAUUGAGAAGCAGUAUUGUCUACUACUAAAACAGUCAUUUGUUUAACAUGAGAACAACGGUAAACUGUGGAGGAAAAUAAGAAUACUGAUGAGGAGUACCUGUAACAGAUUUGUGGCUUUGCUAGCUAAAAGUUAGCUUCUUCUCUCCUGUGCUGUGGUCUUUAGGUUAAUGUAAGCUACAGCUGGAAGGCAGCUGCUAGCUAGCAGGAUUUCUUUGCAGUGUUUGAAUAACAUUGGAACUAGGGCUGGGCGAUAUGGGCAACAGUUUAGCACAAAUUUUUUUUUUCAUAUCGGUCAAUAUCGAUAUCAAGAUAUUAAAGAAAUGAUAUUUAAGAGUGCUUAUUGGUAGCAUGUCCUUUUCAAUGCAAUAAGCUACUGCAUCUGUGACGUUUUCACCGUUUUCGUGCCAGUAUCGUCGACAAUGUCGUCAUCUGUUGAGCCUUCAUUCGGCUUUCUGCUGGGGGUAGCACUUGUUUUUGUUUUUUCUCACCGACAGUGCUGUCAGCUUCACGUGUUAGAGUGCUAUGGUUGCGUGUAGCUGCUGCCUGCUACUAAGCAGUUGUUCGCUACUUGGUUAUAAUUUAGCGCAUGAUUAGUUCAGCGCGAAGCGUACCCGGAACAACUCCCCUUUUCAUUGGCUAUUCGUAUAGUCUACAAAAAGAUGGCCAUUGAGAAACAUAUUGACCAUGUUUUAUAUUGAUAUGGAGGGAAAUUAAGUUACGAUAUAUUUCGUUAUUGUUUUAUCGCCCAGCUCUAAUUUGAACAAAUAAUGACUUUAAAGUGUUAACUAGAUCUGGUAGUGCUAUAGUUGAGUCUCUAAGAACUGUAUUUUGCUAAUCCAAAAUCGUUUUCUUAAAAUGGGCUGUAAAUGUGUUAAAAAAUGUGACUUUUCUGGCUAAUAUGUUUGUUGUUUUCGGUUCUUGUGCAGCCAGCCUCGAGUGGGCUCCUGGGGAACUACACUUUUGAGCUUCAUUUAUCAAGACUGAACAUUUCCACUUUGUAAAUCCACUUCUGUCAUUGUGUUGACUUUGAUUCCAGCGUUUUCAUAUCCUCUCUUAUACCAUUGCAAUUCAUAAGAUGUAGUAAAGCUGCUCAAUGUGCUA
rnacentral:lncRNA from 1 species